CACGCCGUAAACGAUGAAUACUAGGUGUAGGAGGUAUCGACUCCUUCUGUGCCGGAGCAAACGCAUUAAGUAUUCCACCUGGGGAGUACGGCCGCAAGGUUAAAACUCAAAGGAAUUGACGGGGGCCCGCACAAGCAGUGGAGUAUGUGGUUUAAUUCGAAGCAACGCGAAGAACCUUACCAGGGUUUGACAUCCUCUGACGUCCAUAGAGAUAUGGAGUUCUCUUCGGAGACAGAGUGACAGGUGG
rnacentral:rRNA from 1 species